rnacentral:rRNA from 1 species
UACGGAGGGGGCGAGCGUUAUUCGGAAUUAUUGGGCGUAAAGGGCGCGUAGGCGGCCUUCUAAGUCGAACGUGAAAUCCCCGGGCUCAACCCGGGAACUGCGUCCGAUACUGGAAGGCUUGAAUCCGGGAGAGGGAUGUGGAAUUCCAGGUGUAGCGGUGAAAUGCGUAGAUAUCUGGAGGAACACCGGUGGCGAAGGCGACAUCCUGGACCGGUAUUGACGCUGAGGCGCGAAAGCCAGGGGAGCAAACGGG